AUUAUAAAAAUUUUAAAUUAUGAUGCAAGUCGAAAAAUAUUAUUUCGUUAAAAAAUAUACCUUUAAAAUAAAUGCAAAUAACAUUUUAGCUUUUAACCGUAAAUCUUUAAGUUUCGCUUAAAAUUAUUUAUGGAAAUUUUUAAGAGUGUCCAUCUCUUAAAAAUUUGAAAACUUUAUGGACAUUAUAAAACUAGACUUUUCUAGAUCUUUUAAGUUAAAUUAUUACUUAAUUCCUUUUAAUUUGUUCAUUUUAAAUGAACUAAACUUGUGAACGAUUAAUUUAUCACUUUUAUAAUGGACGUGG
rnacentral:sRNA from 1 species